rnacentral:rRNA from 1 species
GUGGACGCCAGUCUGCGUGGAGCCGACCUUGAAAUACCACCCUUUAAUGUUUGAUGUUCUAACGUGGACCCGUAAUCCGGGUUGCGGACAGUGUCUGGUGGGUAGUUUGACUGGGGCGGUCUCCUCCUAAAGAGUAACGGAGGAGCACGAAGGUUGGCUAAUCCUGGUCGGACAUCAGGAGGUUAGUGCAAUGGCAUAAGCCAGCUUGACUGCGAGCGUGACGGCGCGAGCAGGUGCGAAAGCAGGUCAUAGUGAUCCGGUGGUUCUGAAUGGAAGGGCCAUCGCUCAACGGAUAAAAGGUACUCCGGGGAUAACAGGCUGAUACCGCCCAAGAGUUCAUAUCGACGGCGGUGUUUGGCACCUCGAUGUCGGCUCAUCACAUCCUGGGGCUGAAGUAGGUCCCAAGGGUAUGGCUGUUCGCCAUUUAAAGUGGUACGCGAGCUGGGUUUAGAACGUCGUGAGACAGUUCGGUCCCUAUCUGCCGUGGGCGCUGGAGAACUGAGGGGGGCUGCUCCUAGUACGAGAGGACCGGAGUGGACGCAUCACUGGUGUUCGGGUUGUCAUGCCAAUGGCACUGCCCGGUAGCUAAAUGCGGAAGAGAUAAGUGCUGAAAGCAUCUAAGCACGAAACUUGCCCCGAGAUGAGUUCUCCCUGAGACUUAGAGUCUCCUGAAGGAACGUUGAAGACGACGA